rnacentral:rRNA from 1 species
AAUCUUCCACAAUGGACGAAAGUCUGAUGGAGCAACGCCGCGUGAGUGAAGAAGGUUUUCGGAUCGUAAAGCACUGUUGUGAGGGAAGAACAAGUACAGGAGUAACUGUCUGCACAUUGACGGAACCGCAACAGAAAGCCACGGCUAACUAGGUACCAGCAGCCGCGGUAAUACGUAGGUGGCAAGCGUUGUCCGGAAUUAUUGGGCGUAAAGCGCGCGCAGGCGGUCCUUUAAGUCUGAUGUGAAAGCCCACGGCUCAACCGUGGAGGGUCAUUGGAAACUGGAGGACUUGAGUACAGGAGAGGAAAGCGGAAUUCCACGUGUAGCGGUGAAAUGCGUAGAGAUGUGGAGGAACACCAGUGGCGAAGGCGGCUUUCUGGUCUGUAACUGACGCUGAGGCGCGAAAGCGUGGGGAGCAAAC